rnacentral:lncRNA from 1 species
GCCGGCCGCAAACUUCCCCCUUUCAAAUCUUCGGGCCCCAGCAUCCAAUCUGUUCUCUUCCACAGGCCCCCAGGCCCCCCAGGCCAUGCAGGGUGGCCCCAUCCCCAGGAGUCACCCCCACACCACUUACCGAUCUUCGGCGUAGUGGUUGGGUUUUCCCCUAGACUGGUGAGGGCUUUGUACCUUCCCUCUGCUCUCACAUCCAACAGCUUCCAGAACCUCUGGGCCAGAGAAACCCAGAGAAUCCUUCAAGGACCCUUCGCGUCCCUGGGGUGGAAUUGGAAGAGCCCAGGAGCCAGAGUCCCAGUAGAGGGACAUUCGGACACUCGGGCCUAGGCUUCUCAGCGACGGGAGAAAAUGCUGGCUUCCACCUACACACAACCCUUCAGGGCAGCUUCCUGCAAACAAUGCCAUCCGGAGGCCGAGGGAAUCAGAACCAGCUGCCCUCAAAGCCGGCCUCGCGCAGGACACACAGGUCCUAGAUCAGGCCCUCUCUGUCCCCCACCUUAAGGGAAGUCAUCCCUCAAGAAGUUAGGGCAAAGGGGCCAAGCAGGGACCCAAGAAGCUGGAUUAGAGGUCUCACUCCUCCCUCAAUGAUCCGUGUGUUUCCAAAAAACAAAGCCUGUGGACAGAGCGGAAGGGGGAGGGUACAGCCAACCUAUCUGGGAGUUCCCAGGCACUGGCUGCAACAGGUAACCCCCCCCCCGCCCCCGGACCCCUCUCUUCAUCCCCCUCAAAUGCUGGGCUGACCUCCAAACACUUGGGAACCCGAGGUGGGAAGUACGUUAUUCGUGAGGAAGGACUGUUAAGUAAGGGACAGAGAGGCCAGGCCUCCUAUCUAGCAAGCCAUGAGACCAGGUGGGCAGAGGGCCUCAGGACACGAGUGGAAGAUUGGGGGAGGGAGAGGGUCAUGUGGACGGGCGGUUGCCUAGAAAACUAGAGGAGCAGAAAAGCGACAGGUGGGCUGGGUACCGCGGGGGUCUGUGGAGGACGGCGGGGUCAGACAGCGGGGUGGGUCUGGAGCGUGGGAUACACCGAGGGAGGACUAGGAGGUCCAAAGCAAAGGGUCGGCGGGGAUGCGGCGCUGCGGGAUCCAGAGUGCGUGGUCGGCGAGAUGUAAGAGCUGGUGAGGUCCCCAGGGUAGAAGUGAGGAUCACUGAAAGACGCUGGGGCUGUGGAAGGCAGCCCCCAGAGGACAAGGUGUACAGAGCACAGGAAACUGACGAAGGCUCAGC